GAUCAUCUGCAAGGAACUGAAGGAAACCAUGGACCACUCCAUUAAACUCUCACUCAAGGCAUCAGCUUUGAGUGAGAAUCUCCCAGAUGUUUCAAAGCAUCUUGAAACUGUGCAGCAACAUUACAAUGAAGAUUUGCUCCACACAGUAACAGCAGAAACCUGAUGACCCACUCAACAUCUCUGAGGGAACACUGACCAAAAGCACGAGGUCUCUGGAUAUCACCACAGACAUUUUUGUCAAGUUGUGUUGCCUGCUGUCUUUGAAUGUUGUGUUUGACUUUUAAUGAAUUUGAUGAAAUUAGAU